GGCGAACGCUGGCGGCGUGCUUAACACAUGCAAGUCGAACGGAAAGGCCCUGCUUUUGUGGGGUGCUCGAGUGGCGAACGGGUGAGUAACACGUGAGUAACCUGCCCUUGACUUUGGGAUAACUUCAGGAAACUGGGGCUAAUACCGGAUAGGAGCUCCUGCUGCAUGGUGGGGGUUGGAAAGUUUCGGCGGUUGGGGAUGGACUCGCGGCUUAUCAGCUUGUUGGUGGGGUAGUGGCUUACCAAGGCUUUGACGGGUAGCCGGCCUGAGAGGGUGACCGGCCACAUUGGGACUGAGAUACGGCCCAGACUCCUACGGGAGGCAGUAGUGGGGAAUAUUGCACAAUGGGCGGAAGCCUGAUGCAGCAACGCCGCGUGCGGGAUGACGGCCUUCGGGUUGUAAACCGCUUUCGCCUGUGGCGAAGCGUGAGUGACGGUAAUGGGUAAAGAAGCACCGGCUAACUACGUG
rnacentral:rRNA from 1 species